rnacentral:lncRNA from 1 species
CUGGUGAAAGCAGAUCUCGGCUGCUCUGCGCUAGUCAAGGUAGAGUUCGGCUGCUCUGCACUGGUCAAAUUAGGAACUUCCACUUUGUUAUCCACCAUCUUACCACUGCGAAGAACAGUUACAGCAAGAGCUUGAUGCGUCUGAGCAGGUUGACCAUGAAACUUCCCGGGUUGCUGUUGUUGUUGGAUUUGAUUCAAGGCACCGGAAAGUUGUCCAACCGUAGUCUCGAGCCUUUUG